rnacentral:lncRNA from 1 species
CAGAAAAGUCUGGCUCCUCCCACCUCCUGCCCCAGGAGCCCUGCCGGGGGGAACAGUCAUCCAGCCCUUCUCUCCCAUCUAUCUUAUUUUGCCUGUGCUGCUGACAAUGGGGGCAUGAAGCCAUGGCUCUGUGGAGAACUUGCAGACAUUUCAGCGUCCUCCCUGAGCAAACGCUUAUAUCAGGGGUCACUGGCAGAGUUCCCUCUCCCAGGAGAUCCGGCGAAGUGAAGUGGGUGAGACGACAGCAGGGAGGGAUGAAAGAUGUUUCUGGGGUCCCAGAGAGUUGGCAGGCUCCAGGGAUGGGAAGUAGGGUGAACGGAGUACUAUUCACCACCACGUGCUCAGGAAAGGACUCAGUGCUGUGCCAGGAUUGUGGGGUUCAGGUUGUGGCAAAGCAAUUAUUCCAACCAUCUGGUAGCAUUUGAGGUUUUACCCCAACCCAGCUCAUGCUUUCCAUUUGCUAGUUGAGAAAACUGAGGUUAAAUGGUUCUCGAGAGCACACUGCUUUGAUUAUGCUUGGAACUCAGCUAGAGUCCACCCUUUUCCAGUCCCAUGUUACCCCCGCCUGUACUUUCAGCAGACCCAUGACCAGGAUGCAGGUUUGGUUUGGCUCUGGCCGCCAUCUGGUCCCUGCCACUCUCCCAGGUAGGGGCUGUGACUGUGCUUUCUCCAGUUUCCUCUUGCCCUCUGGGCUCUGGUCAGAGCCUGGCCACACUGGACAUGCCAGGCUGGCCCCUGGUGAGUGGUGACGUCCCACUUAGCACAUUGUCAUGCCACCCCCGGGCUGCAUCAGCAGCUGCCUGGCUGAAUAAUUCAUCAGACCUUGUUUACUCUUCCCUUCCUGGCUGUUAGUGGCUCUCAAAACCCCACCACAGCCCCCUCCCAGGUCCAGCUGCCCUGGCCUCCACCCUGCUCUCCAAUUUAGCCACCAGAAAGCUGCUCCACGACUGGGCCAUGCGCAUUGGCCAUGAAUUAUUCAGGCCUCAUUUGGCUGGAGCCAGGGUAGAUAUUGGGGCUGGAGGAGAGUUUGGGCCAUGCGGUCUGUGCCAUUUGGAGGGCACGUGGAGGAAGCAUGUGGAACACAGAGUUGUCUCUGUCUUCAUCUCCAUUCAAGCUGACACCCACGUCCUGUUGGAUCCAGAGUGAUCUGCCCAUUGUGAGCCCAGGGGAGCAGAGGAUGCCUCGGGGUGAGAGCUCCCCAACCUUCAAGCGCAGAGACCUGCACAGAGCAUACCAUCGGUGCUCAGGACAGCGGGCUGAUUGGCAGGCUGGCCUACAUCAAUCAACAAGAGGAUGACACAUUUCAUAUAAGGGGACUCCAGUUACAGGCCCGCCCAGCCCAUCUCCUCAAGGCACUCCUGUGAGCUGAGAAGGACAAGCACAUCCUUUCUGGCUUCUACCCUCAAAGAACUCAGCACUUUGCAGUUGAUUACUCCACAGCCCUUUGAUUUGUGAGAGAAACUGGCGGCAGGGCUGUCC